GACGAACGCUGGCGGCGUGCUUAACACAUGCAAGUCGAACGGAAAGGCCCUUUCGGGGGUACACGAGUGGCGAACGGGUGAGUAACACGUGGGUGAUCUGCCCUUCACUUUGGGAUAAGCCUGGGAAACUGGGUCUAAUACCGGAUAGGACUACGCGAUGCAUGUCGUGUGGUGGAAAGCUUUUGCGGUGUGGGAUGGGCCCGCGGCCUAUCAGCUUGUUGGUGGGGUGAUGGCCUACCAAGGCGACGACGGGUAGCCGGCCUGAGAGGGUGUCCGGCCACACUGGGACUGCGAUACGGCCCAGACUCCUACGGGAGGCAGCAGUGGGGAAUAUUGCACAAUGGGCGCAAGCCUGAUGCAGCGACGCCGCGUGGGGGAUGACGGCCUUCGGGUUGUAAACCCCUUUCAGCACAGACGAAGCGUAAGUGACGGUAUGUGCACAAGAAGCACCGGCCAACUACGUG
rnacentral:rRNA from 1 species